CUAUUCUUCCCUUGAUUGUUAAUAUCUUGUGGGGCAAUACUUAGAGACUGCAAAUAUCUUGUUCCUCUUCAAACUUUGUCUACUAUUAAUUUUAGUAUCUACCAAUUGAUUUUGACUCAACAACCCACCAAGCUUUCCAACAGGAGGAUGCACCUUAUUUACUUGAAGUUGAGUUGAAAAUAGCACAAAUAAGUGGAUGAAAUACGAACUGGAAAUAUUUUCUUAACAUUUGCUUCUUGGUUUGUUUGUUUGAGGUUUUUUUGGAGACGGGGUCUCGCUGUGUAGUUCACGCUGACCUCAAACUCAUAUCCCCCUGCCUCAGCCUCUUGAGUGCAAGGAUUACAGGUGUGUGCCAUCAUGCCCAGCUAAUGUUUGCCUCUGCAGGACAAGAUUGUUACUCUGGAUGGAGCUUCCUGGCUGUUCCCAUGAUCCCUUUAUUACUUACAUAGAAUAGGCUGUCACCUGCUUCCUCCCUGCAGUGACCUCCUUUCAGGUAGGUAAGUCUUCAGAGGACGUGGCCCUGGAAGAAGAGACCAUCUGUGAGAACAGUCAGCCAGAGGCUUCUCUAUGGACAGACUCCCCCAGGGGCUCUUCACUCUUUAGCCAGGAAAAGCUCACCCAAAUCAGGCUCCCUUAAGUCAUCAUCACUCCUAAAGCUCAAGGCAGAGAAGAAUGACCUGGCAAAAUUGGGGAAGAACCACUCCUCAGCCUUCUUUUCCUUGUCCAUCAUCAAUAGCAUCUGCUCCUUCUCCUCCUUUUUCUCCUCCUCUCUGUCUAAGAACAGUGGUGAUCUGAAGGCUCACUCUGCCUUGGACUCAGGUAUCUGUGGCACUCCCAAGGUCAAGGCCAAGAAGACCUCCUGGGCGAAGCCAACAGUCUGGCCAAGGCAUUCCUGAAUUGAGUAGAGUGUCAAGAGUCAAGAGAAGAUGGAUAUCAGGACUUUCAUCAAACCUAUAGGCCAGCUCCAGGGAGCCUUAAAGGCUCUCUACAAGUGAGGAUUCACAACUGCUCGCCUCCCCAGCCUCUGAAGGGUUCAAGAGAGGCUCAGCCAUUAUCAUCAUCCUUCUGGAUUUCACUCCCUGGUUUUCCCCCCAGAAAGGAGUGGAAAGUGCAAGCCACCUCCUGCAAAUGCUGGAGAAGCUGUAAAGUGGAUGGUGAAUUAGCCCAAUUCGGUACAGUGGUACAUGAACAACCAGAUUUGGAAGUUGGGAGGAGGUCGAAAGUGAGUGAUCAGGACUGGCAGGAACUGUGGGUGGAUGAUGCCAUCUGGAAGUUGCUGUUCUCCAUGAUAUUCUUUGUCAUCAUGAUUCUCUGGCAACCAUCGACAAAUAACCAAAGGUUCUUGGACUCUUUAUUCUGUUGAGCCUGACAUGUCUAGUCUUUAUUGGGGCUGUUUCAUCCUGCUUGUGUGGCUGACCUUUCAUUUCCAACCCUUCCUGGUGGCCGAGCUAAUGGCUUCAGUCUCCAUUUCUUCCAUGAGAGACUUUUGUUUGUAUUUUCAUUGUAAUUUACAUAGAAAUUUAUUUCUGAUGUUAUCUUGUAGGUUUUACAAGCAAGUAAACAAGCUUAUGUGAAAAUGUUGAUGUCUAUUCUAAGCACCCAUUACAUAUUUGAUAUUUUAUUUUAUUGAUAUCUUAUUUUCCUGCUAAGUACACAUUAUACAAUAUAAUAAGACAUUCCCGACAAAAGAAGAAGACAAGAAAAGUUACAAAAAACAGAUUCACUGAGAGAGAAAUAGGGCAAUCCAUUCCUUUCACAAUAAGGUACAAGAACAGCCUGCCACAUAGGAAAGAAAAGCUAAGCACGUGUGGUAUCAGUGUAAGACUUGUGUAUGGAACAUGCAGUUGUCCUGUUUGAAGGCUGCUGUGGGUGUGACAGUUGAAGUAAAGAUUAUGUUUGUUGUAGAGUUCUUUUGGUAUUUUUAUUGUAGCUCAUAUAAGAAUUUUUUGGGGGUACCAGAAAUCAAACUCAGGACCUUGUGCUUGCCAGACAGGUCCAGAGCUCAUAUAGGAAUUUAUUCCUGUUAUAUUUUAGAUUUUGAUUUUGUGAACAAAUAUUUGAUGUUGAAAAUGAUGUUUAAACUGGUAUACACAAGUCACACUGGAUGCUGGGGUGUGUCUUUCCUUUCCCUGGAGGGACUCAUGAGUGCUGAGAUACAGCUGGGGUACAUGAUGGCGCACACCUGGAAUUCCCCCACUGGGAACCUGAGUUUGAGCCUGGCCUGAGGUACAGUGUGCAUCUGAAAUCUGGAUUACAGAGCAAGAUCCUGUCUCAAAAAGAGUUGUUUAGUGUUUCAGUACAAAGGGAGUAAAAAUCCUGAGCUGUUAUCGGUAUCUUUCAGAGGCAUAAUGAAGGACCCAGGGGGGCUUGUCCUCCUUUUGCUCUAGAGACUUAGCAAAGGCUGACAGCCACGCAGAUGGUUAGAAUUAAAGUAACACUGCCCCAGUUUUGGUAUGGCAGAGGUCAUGGAAUGAGUCUGGUGGCAACUGUUCCACCCAUUCUAUUAUGAAGAUGCAGGUCAAACACAUCAAAGGUUCUCUUAGCUGAAAAUGAAGACCCAGCACUCCUUUAGGAAAAUGUUUCAUACCACACACAAAGUCAGAGUUGUUGGAAAGGAGAUUUUAUUUUCUUCUUCCUAUGCUAUGGAAGAACAUUAUGUUCCUGUUUCAUUUCCUCCCUCAAGGAGAAAAAGGAUAGCAGUUCUCUGGGUCUCAGGACUAAGCUGCUCCCACAGGUCCUAGCCAAGACAAGACACGGAGACUGGUGACUGACUCCUAUCUGCCAGCUAGCUGAUCAACCACCACUGAAGGGCAGACAAGUGACUGAAAGGCAAGUUGUAGACUUGGCCUCAGAGACCAACAGUUCAAACCGUGAGGUGAUCAAAAUGAUAAAGUAAACAGCACCCAGGAUGCAGCUGUCCACGGAGCCCGCAUCUCUGCAUUCUGGCCACUUAAGUUAAGCAGUGUCUAAAGGGGCACAGCCUCCCAGCCUGUCACAGGAAUGGUCAACUCCAGGCCCAAGGCUCUCUGACCAUUCUCCUUGGCUUUGACUUUCAAGUGAAAGGGCAGGGUUCUAGCAAAUCCUCCAAGCCAAGCCAGUCCAAGGAAGGUGUACCAUGGCAGAGGCUCUGGACAUACACAGGGAACCCUAUGUACAGAACCCCUCUCAGGGGCUCUUCAGGGCUCUGAAGCUGAACCCUCAUCUGAACCACCUAAGCAGCCAAGUGAAUUACAAGGAGGCAAAGUAGCUCAAUGGAAGUGUGAACAGGUGGAUGGCCAGGGACUAAGACCCAGGAGACAGUAAGUUUCCUCAGCAGAGCUCUUCCAAACAUGAGCUUCAAGGUUUCUUUCCUUUUCAAAAAGUCACAACCAAAAUCCUGCUGUCCUGAACUCGUUUUCUAGGAAUGAGCAACAGGGAAGAACCAAAAUAAACUUGGGAUAAUGAUGAGUGUAUUUUUAGGCUAAGUGUGUGGUUUGCUAAUUGAGAAGGUACCAAAAAGAUCUCCAGACAGAGAAGUGGGAGCACUUGCUAUUCCUUCAGGCAAAAGCGGAGCUACUGAACAGAAAGAGUGGUGAGGCAGCCACUGCAUCUUUCCCAUUUUUUAAAGGGAAGUAUGUGUGACAUGUUGCCUUCUCCAUCCCAGCCUCUCAGAGAACCAGCUGCCUUCCAUAUUUUAUGAGGAAAAUUGUAAACCCACCAGUACCCGGGCUGAGUUCCCACUGCUGCUAGUUCUGAGGACGUAUGAGACAGGGUCUUGCUUGUAGGAUGACAAAGUUACAGUUUGGAUUUUGUGAAGCAUAGUUAAAAGUCAGAGCUGCCCCUAAAGACACAAAAUAAACUUAUUUCCCUUCCUAAAAAAAUGUACAAAAAGAGAAAAUGGUGUUUAUUUGAAAUGUGCAAUACAUAUUAUGAAUCGAAUGCUUUGUUGAUAUUUUAUGUUCCUGUUUACUACAAAUUGUAUAAUAAGAACCUCCUGACAAAACAGCAAGAUAGCAAGAUGUCUACUAUGUCCUACAAAAAAGAUAGGAAAGCAAAACACAUGUGCUAUCAGUGUAAAUGAUACAUGCAUGCUGUUUUCAUGUGUGAAGACUGCUUUAGGUAUGAUAAUUGAAGUAAAGAUUAUUUUUGUUGUAAAGUUCUAUUGGUAUUUUCAUUAUAAUGAUGGAGCAAUAAUACACAAUAAGAUUGGCCCUUGCCUUUCCCUUGCCUUGCCUCCAUUUUUUUUUUUUUUCCACAAAAUGUUUUGUCUCAGAAAUGUGACAGUUUGUGCUGCUGGGCAGCAGCUCCUGCCCAAUGUAUCAAAAUGUUUUGUGACUGAAUUAUGUGACCUUUCAGGAAUGUUCUGUUAAAUUCUGCCCCCUCUGCUUCAGGAAUGUUCUGUAACUCUGCCCUCCUUGCUUCAGUGUGCAUGCUCACCUAUCCUGUAGAUCCCUAUUUAAGGAGGCUCUCAUUUCUGGUAGAGCGCUCACACUUCAAGUAUGAACUCCUCUGAGCCUGCCAGUGUAAUAAACGUUUUCUCCACCUCUUCGAGUGACCAUCAGAUUCUAGAGUCUUCAAAUUGAGAGAGCUGGGGUCCAGAUCUGCCACACUGAGCUGUAAAGCUCAGCUGUGCCUUCGGAGCUGUGGCACUUGGCUGCAACCCUGAGCUGUAGGGCCGGGGAUUUAGCGCAGUGGUUUUGCUGCCUGCUGCACAAGGACCACAGUUCAAUCUCCAGUACCAAAAAAACCCCAAAAACAAAAACAAAAAUACCCCAUUGAGCUGUAACACUCAGCUGUGCCUCUGAGCUGUGGUACUUGGCUGCGACACUGAGCUAUAACACUUGGCUAUGGCACUGAGCUUCUCUGCCGCAACAGUAGUUCAUAUAGAUAUUUGUUAUUUUUUAGACUUUAAGAAGUUGAUGUUGAAAAUGAUGCUUAUUUAUAAACACUAUUAAAAAUUCAGUAUUUAAAAAUUUUUACACAAUAUAAAACUCAAAAUUAAAAUUAAUUCAUCAGUAUAAAUACUUCUAAAAAGAUAAAUGUGGGUGUUAUACACCCCCAUGAUGCUCCUUUAAUCUAAAAUUGACAUGAUCCCCCAAUAAGGGUACUUUUUCAAGGCUGUUUACAGAUUUGUUGGCAGCCAGUCAGAUUUAAAAAUGUAACAAUCUGAGACCAAAGGAAAAAAGAAAAAGAAGGACACUUUAAAAUCCAAGUGGCUGCAGCGAAGUUUGUUUUAGCCUGUGGCAAGUACAGUGUUACCUCAGUUCAUGAAUGCUUUUGUUUGCAAGCAGUUUGGUUUGGCAAAAUUUUUCUUUUGUUUGUGAACACUGUGUCAGGUGAUAAACAUGACUGCAGUCAUCUUUCCUACAUGAACAUGAAUAUGGCUGUCUUUUCCAGAAUCAUGGGACAAAUUAAGUUUGUGAACCAAGGGACCACUGUAGGACAGAGAAAAUAUAGAAGAAGCUUUAAGUAUAGAGAUACAUUUUUGAUGUGAGGAUUUUGUAUGAUAAAGUUAAGAAAGAGGGAAAUAAUGACAGACCUGGAAGACUUAAGCAUGUCAAAAAGUUUGUGGAAGAUACAGUUUAUAGAAAGAAAUACGUAUGUUUAUUUUAUGCUUUGCUCUUGUUAGUUUGAUUAAGCCCAAACUAUUUCUUUUAAUAAAUCCUUGUUGCUCAAAGAAGAUUAGGGGGCUAUAAUCCUGACUCUCAUCAGUCACUUCUCAUUUCUCAGCUCUCCUCUCUGGUUUAACUGGUGCUUUCAGGCAAAGGGUAUAAUUCUCCUUUCUGAGAUUAAUAUUAGCUGGGCCUGGGGGCCAGGUAUUUAGCUCAGUGGCACUGCUCCUGGCUCAAAAGCACAAGGUCCUGAGUUCGAUCCUCAGUACAAAAAAAAAAAGGCUGGGCCUCGUAGUGCAUGCUUUAAUUCCAGCACUUAGAAGAUGAGGCAGGAGGAUUGCCACGAGUUUAGAGGCCAGCCUGG
rnacentral:lncRNA from 1 species